AGACCCGAAACCCGGUGAUCUAGCCAUGGGCAGGUUGAAGGUUGGGUAACACUAACUGGAGGACCGAACCGACUAAUGUUGAAAAAUUAGCGGAUGACCUGUGGCUGGGGGUGAAAGGCCAAUCAAACCGGGAGAUAGCUGGUUCUCCCCGAAAGCUAUUUAGGUAGCGCCUCGUGAAUUCAUCUCCGGGGGUAGAGCACUGUUUCGGCUAGGGGGCCAUCCCGGCUUACCAACCCGAUGCAAACUGCGAAUACCGGAGAAUGUUAUCACGGGAGACACACGGCGGGUGCUAACGUCCGUCGUGAAGAGGGAAACAACCCAGACCGCCAGCUAAGGUCCCAAAGUCAUGGUUAAGUGGGAAACGAUGUGGGAAGGCCCAGACAGCCAGGAUGUUGGCUUAGAAGCAGCCAUCAUUUAAAGAAAGCGUAAUAGCUCACUGGUCGAGUCGGCCUGCGCGGAAGAUGUAACGGGGCUAAACCAUGCACCGAAGCUGCGGCAGCGACGCUUAUGCGUUGUUGGGUAGGGGAGCGUUCUGUAAGCCUGCGAAGGUGGCCUGUGAGGGUUGCUGGAGGUAUCAGAAGUGCGAAUGCUGACAUAAGUAACGAUAAAGCGGGUGAAAAGCCCGCUCGCCGGAAGACCAAGGGUUCCUGUCCAACGUUAAUCGGGGCAGGGUGAGUCGACCCCUAAGGCGAGGCCGAAAGGCGUAGUCGAUGGGAAACGGGUUAAUAUUCCCGUACUUGGUGUUACUGCGAAGGGGGGACGGAGAAGGCUAUGUUGGCCGGGCGACGGUUGUCCCGGUUUAAGCGUGUAGGUGUGUGUUCCAGGUAAAUCCGGUUCACUUUAACACUGAGGCGUGACGACGAGGCACUACGGUGCUGAAGCAACAAAUGCCCUGCUUCCAGGAAAAGCCUCUAAGCAUCAGGUAACAUCAAAUCGUACCCCAAACCGACACAGGUGGUC
rnacentral:rRNA from 1 species